rnacentral:rRNA from 1 species
GUGUGGGGGACAUUCCACGUUUUCCGCGCCGUAGCUAACGCAUUAAGUGCCCCGCCUGGGGAGUACGGCCGCAAGGCUAAAACUCAAAGGAAUUGACGGGGGCCCGCACAAGCGGCGGAGCAUGCGGAUUAAUUCGAUGCAACGCGAAGAACCUUACCAAGGCUUGACAUGAACCGGAAAGACCUGGAAACAGGUGCCCCGCUUGCGGUCGGUUUACAGGUGGUGCAUGGUUGUCGUCAGCUCGUGUCGUGAGAUGUUGGGUUAAGUCCCGCAACGAGCGCAACCCUCGUUCUAUGUUGCCAGCGGUUCGGCCGGGGACUCAUAGGAGACUGCCGGGGUCAACUCAGA